rnacentral:lncRNA from 1 species
UGGUCUCGAAAAAUGUAUUAAGUUCAAUCUGAACUUUAUCUUCAGAGAAGAUGGUGUUUGUUUCCUGCAGACCGUCUGCCAAUACCCGAGGUAUCAUCUAUGCCCAAAUUGGUUUAUAGGAUACAUAAGAUAGUAUGGUGAUCCAUGGAAAGAUUAAGUUUACAUUGCCGGGUGUAGGCAAUAGGAUGUACUUAUAUGCAGAGGAGUUGGUAUAAGAGAACAAGCAGCUUGAUUCCUGCCCCAGACUGCUGAAGCAAUGCAGUACAAAGUUAGCAUCAAGUUAAUUGAUUCUAGCCUGACGAAACACACACGUACAAAGCUCUUGAUAUAUCUUUGCAUUGAUCGAUCCUCACGGCUGAAAACGUACUAGUACACGUGCACACACAAAACGGCAUAUUGCCACAUGCUUGUAUCAAGCCUGGUUCUUUUCGUUUAUUUCCUCUCACUAUUAAAUGUUUACAAAUGGAUAUACAUACGUAUAUGUAGCAGCUAGGAUUAACACAAGCUAACCUACUUGGUUACAAGUUCUGAUCCUAAAAUACUAGCUCAUUGUUCUGUAUUUCCAGCAUAUACUCUUUGUGUACUUUAAUUAGCUUUAGAAAAACAAAAAACAAAACAAAACAUUUUUGGCACCACGGUGGUUCCUUGUUUCAUUAUAUAUUGUGUUUCCAGCUGCUCCCGACAGUAGGUGCUAUUGUCUGAUUUGAAUAAGAGCUGUGGAUGUUUGCAUUUGAAUUCUGUUACGAUCAUUCAUAUUAGUUCAUAUUGAUGCUCUCUAUGCCUAUAACCAUUGAUGCCUUCUAAUUACGCUCAAGUUAGUUGUUUUCGUACACUGAUUUUAUCUGGUAUUAUACUUUGUGCCAACUUAUUUACAUUGACUGGCUUUCAGAAAUUUCCCAACAUUUUUUAGGACUGAUGAUCAAGCUUAUAAUAUAUAGAAGAACGAGGAGGCAUUGUAAUCGCUGCUGAAGAAUUAUAUCCAUUCAAACAAGGAUGGUGCCUCUCGAUUGAAGAUUUAGAAAUAUUAUCACAUUUUCCAAUUAGAAAUGAGGUAGUACCGUGGUCAUGUAAAGAGUGAUUUUCACCCAAAUUUCUUAAAUGGUAUACUAAUUGUAGAAUUGUAUGGUGGAAUUUUGUCAAUUUCUCUCUUGUCUAUUAAUAAAAGAGGCUUUUG